rnacentral:rRNA from 1 species
UGGGGAAUUUUGGACAAUGGGCGAAAGCCUGAUCCAGCAAUGCCGCGUGUGUGAAGAAGGCCUUCGGGUUGUAAAGCACUUUUGUCCGGAAAGAAAUCCUUGGCCCUAAUACAGUCGGGGGAUGACGGUACCGGAAGAAUAAGCACCGGCUAACUACGUGCCAGCAGCCGCGGUAAUACGUAGGGUGCAAGCGUUAAUCGGAAUUACUGGGCGUAAAGCGUGCGCAGGCGGUUUGCUAAGACCGAUGUGAAAUCCCCGGGCUCAACCUGGGAACUGCAUUGGUGACUGGGCAGGCUAGAGUAUGGCAGAGGGGGGUAGAAUUCCACGUGUAGCAGUGAAAUGCGUAGAGAUGUGGAGGAAUACCGAUGGCGAAGGCAGCCCCCUGGGCCAAAUACUGACGCUCAUGCACGAAAGCGUGGGGAGCAAACAGGAUUAGAUACCCUGGUAGUCCACGCCCUAAAACGAUGUCAACUAGUUGUUGGGGAUUCAUUUCCUUAGUAACGUAGCUAACGCGUGAAGUUGACCGCCUGGGGAGUACGGUCGCAAGAUUAAAACUCAAAUGAAUUGACGGGGUCAUAGCUGUUUCCU